GGGUCGAUGGUGUAGCUGAUUAUCGCAUCUGUCUAACACGGUGAAUGUCACAGAAGGUCCUCAGUUCGAACCUGGGUCGACUCA